ACAGUUUGAUAUCUUGACAUGGUGGAAGAGCAAUGCAGCAAUUUAUCCUAUAUUAUCGGGCAAGAGACAUUCUCGCUAUUCCAGUCUCUACUGUUUCAUCAGAAUCGGUAUUCAGCACUGACGGUAGAGUUGUAGAUCAGUAUCAGAGUUCAUUGAGCCCAUCUACUGUUGAGGCCUUAGUUUGUACUCAAGAUUGGCUUCGUGAAGAAUAUGAUAAAGUUACAAGUAGCUUAAUUGCGGAUGAUGGCACCCCAGAGCAAGCCAAGCAGUAAAGUUGGAACAUGGAUAUUUUGAUGACGAUGAAUGAAUGAAGAUGGAGGUUGCUUCUUGUAUUUUGGAAGACUGUAGUGAGAAAAUUAGGGAAAGAAGACUGUACUAACAAGGAGAUCUACAUGCAGAUUUUGUUCAAACUGCUACUUAUUUGGGAUUCUUUAAAAGUUGCUUCCUUCAGAGAGAGGAGUUUAGGAACCUGUCCUUUUCUUGCCUCUAACUUGUACCACUGCCAGUGCAAGUUUGCAACAGAAUUUUCUUAAGCAAACUGUAAUCAUAGCUUCUAAGGCUAUCUUUAUCGUUCAAAAAUUGUUUGCUUGUUUUUAUUUCCCCAAUAUUUGUAGUAGUAGUUUGGUGGCCAAGUAAUUUCUUACAAUUUAAGUAAUUUCUUACAAUUCAGCAAUUUGAUUUUUUGUGUUUGAGAAUUGAAAUAUUUUGGUAAUGAACAUAAUUUGUA